UGGGGAAUAUUGCACAAUGGGCGAAAGCCUGAUGCAGCAACGCCGCGUGAGUGAUGAAGGCCUUCGGGUUGUAAAGCUCUGUCUUUUGGGACGAUAAUGACGGUACCAAAGGAGGAAGCCACGGCUAACUACGUGCCAGCAGCCGCGGUAAUACGUAGGUGGCAAGCGUUGUCCGGAUUUACUGGGCGUAAAGGAUGCGUAGGCGGAUUUUUAAGUGAGAUGUGAAAUACCCGGGCUUAACUUGGGUGCUGCAUUUCAAACUGGGAAUCUAGAGUGCGGGAGAGGAGAAUGGAAUUCCUAGUGUAGCGGUGAAAUGCGUAGAGAUUAGGAAGAACACCAGUGGCGAAAGGCGAUUCUCUGGACCGUAACUGACGCUGAGGCAUGAAAGCGUGGGUAGCAAAACAGGAAUUAGAUACCCUGGUAGUCCACGCCGUAAACGAUGAGUACUAGGUGUAGGAGGUAUCGACCCCUUCUGUGCCGCAGUUAACACAAUCAAGUACUCCGCCUGGGAAGUACGAUCGCAA
rnacentral:rRNA from 1 species